rnacentral:piRNA from 1 species
UGGGGUCCUCUUUCAAGGAUGUCCACGGUA